GCGUCAGUAGUCCAACGGUUAGGAUAAUUGCCUUCCAGCAAUAGACCGGAGUUCGACUCUCGGCUGACGCA
rfam:Selaginella moellendorffii unplaced genomic scaffold SELMOscaffold_0, whole genome shotgun sequence.